rnacentral:lncRNA from 1 species
GUAAUGCGGUCGUAAAAUGAUUUCCGGAUCUUCUGAAAUCCCCGACAGGAGCCUGUGGUCUGGAAAGCUGUUGCGCUGGCCUGGACCGUGGGCUUGGAGGAUGGAUGGGCUCCCACCCACGGUCCCAUUUGCCAAUUGUUCCUGGCAGUUAGUCACCCCCUGGCUGAUGAGGACGUGGUAAACCACACGGGGUUGAGGAGAGGACGGAGCCUCGGCGUGACCUCGGGCCACCUCUGAGCCACUGAGGGAUGCAGGGCCAGGCGGGGGUCACCACAGGUGAUUUUUCCCAGUGUCUGUCCUGGACCCCUCACCCCAGGCUCCAGGCAACUCAGCCGUGGGCCCUGCCCAGAGCCCCCCAGGCUCCAAGGGCACUAUAGCCUUUGUGGGCCAGAGCUGCUGUCCCAGGCGUGUGCUCAGGACCCUCAAAGACCUGGCUUUCCUGUCCUGCCAUUGUCCUGGGGACCUCAAAUGCCCACAGGGUGAUGCCCCAGAACCCUUGCAUCCUCCUCCAUAGCCCAGCUCCCUCUGGCCUCCGCUGUAGCCUCAACCUCAGGCUCUUGGGUGUGUGGCUCCUGCCUGGGGCCCACUGAGCCCUCAGCUGCACCAGGCCUUGGGUGUCUCCAACUAAGCCCAGCACCAGCUCCGACACUGUUGUCCUAUUUCCCCACUUUACCAUCCUUGGGACCCCAGCAUCCGGCCCUCAGCGGCUUUCCCCACUUUACCAUCCUUGGGACCCCAGCAUCCAGCCCCUCAGAGCUUUCCCCACUUUACCAUUCUUGGGACCCCAGCAUCCGGCCCCUCAGCGGCUUUCCCCACUUUACCAUUCUUGGGACCCCAGCAUCCAGGCCCUCAGCGGCUUUCCCCACUUUACCAUUCUUGGGACCCCAGCAUCCGGCCCCUCGAGUGGCGGCACCUUGGCUUCUGCUCAGCACUCUGCCAGUUCCCCUCCACGAGGCGGCUUGAGCACACUCACUGGACCCACCUGGCCCUGCAGCCCAGCCCUGGCCCCGGCUGCUGUGGUGCUGAGACCCUCCCCACCCGCCUGCAGCAGGCUCCUCCCCUGGACCUUCCUCCGCAGGUGACCCCAGACACAUCAGGGCCCUCAGCUGACACCUUUCCAUGUCCUCCGCAG